UGGGGAAUAUUGCACAAUGGGGGAAACCCUGAUGCAGCGACGCCGCGUGAACGAAGAAGGUCUUCGUAUCGUAAAGUUCUGUCCUAUGGGAAGAUAAUGACAGUACCAUAGAAGAAAGCUCCGGCUAAAUACGUGCCAGCAGCCGCGGUAAUACGUAUGGAGCGAGCGUUGUCCGGAAUUAUUGGGCGUAAAGGGUACGCAGGCGGUUUAAUAAGUCGAAUGUUAAAGAUCGGGGCUCAACCCCGUAAAGCAUUGGAAACUGAUAAACUUGAGUAGUGGAGAGGAAAGUGGAAUUCCUAGGGUAGUGGUGAAAUACGUAGAUAUUAGGAGGAAUACCAGUAGCGAAGGCGACUUUCUGGACACAAACUGACGCUGAGGUACGAAAGCGUGGGGAGCAAACAGG
rnacentral:rRNA from 1 species